rnacentral:rRNA from 1 species
CCUACGGGGGGCAGCAGUGAGGAAUAUUGGUCAAUGGGCUUACGCCUGAACCAGCCAAGUCGCGUGAGGGAAGACUGCCCUAUGGGUUGUAAACCUCUUUUGUCAGGGAGCAACGCCGGCUACGUGUAGCCGGACUGAGAGUACCUGAAGAAAAAGCAUCGGCUAACUCCGUGCCAGCAGCCGCGGUAAUACGGAGGAUGCGAGCGUUAUCCGGAUUUAUUGGGUUUAAAGGGUGCGUAGGCGGAAUGCGAAGUCAGCGGUAAAAGCGCGGGGCUCAACCUCGCUCCGACGUUGAAACUGGCGUUCUUGAGGGGGCGAGAAGUAUGCGGAAUGCGUGGUGUAGCGGUGAAAUGCAUAGAUAUCACGCAGAACUCCGAUUGCGAAGGCAGCAUACCGGCGCCCAACUGACGCUGAAGCACGAAAGCGUGGGUAUCGAACAGGAUUAGAUACCCGAGUAGUC